UGUUUUUCUACUUCAGGUACAUGUACAUUCUAUGACCUCAAGUGUAAGAUACACAUAUGUUACUUUUAAUUAUUUGCCUUCUCUCUGUUCUAAUAAAUUGUUUUUUUCUAAAACACUUGCACUUCGACCAGCUGAGGCGAUUACCAUUAGUGUACUGUUUGUUCCAAUGCGAAUGUUUUUUCUUGGCACGAGAAGUAUGUAUGUUCUGAUUCUGUGUGGAAUCUAUGGCUUUCUUAAUUAAUCAUCUUCUCUGUAUAUUGAUGCUCUGUCUAUUUUUUACAACACUUGCGAUUUGAUCAGUCGAAGGGCUACUGUUAGUGCUUCACUUAAAUAAUAUGUACCACUUUUGUGUAUGGAAAGGAGUCAGGUACUAGCGGAUAAUGGAGGAAACUAGGGAAGCUAUGGUCAGGAAGUAAGCUUAUGCAUGAGUGGGAGCUCCCAACAAAGCAUGCCCUACGUUUUGGGCAUGCAAUCUGGAAGGAGCACUGAAAAAAGACUGAUAAAGAUGAUAAACCCUGGUGCUUGGGAAAUGGCGUUUCUUUGUGCGAGGUCCACUCUCUGUUGAAAGAAUGAAGUUUGUUGGUCCGUUUUAUGCUCAAGUUUUUCAUGCCCAGAAAGUUUACGUGCCUUGCUCUGAAGUAUUGUACUGUUCUAUCUGUGUUUGCUUAUCUAAUUGCCGUUGCACUGCUCUAUUUUAUGUACUCGAUUUGGAUGGAAAAGCCAUAUAGUCUGAAGCAGUCCAUAA